UACAGAGGUCCCAAGCGUUGUUCGGAAUCACUGGGCGUAAAGGGUGCGUAGGCAGGUCUUUAAGUCAGGGGUGAAAUCCUGGAGCUCAACUCCAGAACUGCCUUUGAUACUGAAGAUCUUGAGUUCGGGAGAGGUGAGUGGAACUGCGAGUGUAGAGGUGAAAUUCGUAGAUAUUCGCAAGAACACCAGUGGCGAAGGCGGCUCACUGGCCCGAUACUGACGCUGAUGCACGAAAGCGUGGGGAGCAAACAGG
rnacentral:rRNA from 1 species